rnacentral:rRNA from 1 species
UACGAAGGGGGCUAGCGUUGCUCGGAAUCACUGGGCGUAAAGCGCACGUAGGCGGAUUGUUAAGUCAGGGGUGAAAUCCUGGAGCUCAACUCCAGAACUGCCUUUGAUACUGGCGAUCUCGAGUCCGGGAGAGGUGAGUGGAACUGCGAGUGAGAGGUGAAAUUCGUAGAUAUUCGCAAGAACACCAGUGGCGAAGGCGGCUCACUGGCCCGGUACGUGAC